UUAUUUUGAUUAUACAUGUCAAUGAGUGGAAAAAGAUAUUUCUGAGAAACAGGGUGAUGCCCAAUUGAAAAAGGAGGGCGAGAAUAAGAAAGCAAAAACCAUCGUGACAUGGCACGACAUCGAAUACGAAGGAUAAAAAAAAAAAACAAUGCGAAGGUGCAAGUGUACAAUUUCAACAAGCUGAGAAGGAGUGGAAGGAUGUGUUAUUUGGUCCACAACCAAAAGUAGAUUCCCCAGGAACUAUCGAGGACAACUCAAUUGAA
rnacentral:lncRNA from 1 species